rnacentral:lncRNA from 1 species
UAUCAAAAUGUUUAUGCAUACUGUUUGUUUUUAGACAUUUGAGGGUUUUUUUAAAUUUAAUUUAAUUUUAAUUAAUUUUUUUUAAAUUUCCAUAAUUUAUAUCUAUGUUAGCCUAGAUAACUGAAAAUGUUAAGAAAAAAAAAGUAAAAAGAAAAUCGGGAAAUCAGAAUACAGAUUGAAUUCCAAUCCGACAGUGUACUUUCCCAACUUUCACAAAAGGCGGGAAAAUUGUUGCUUUGUUUAAUGUUUACUAAACAAUAUAUGCAAAAGUAAAAAAAGUCUAAAAUGGUUGUAAACUCUUCAUUAGAAGUCUUGAGUCUUCUUUGUGUGCACCCUUGCUAGUUUUCUGGAUCGACGAUUGGUCUUUGUUGGACAGCAGCUGUGGUUCGAGCCAAACUUUUCUGAGAAGGCUAGGGCAGGAUGGACUAUGUGUUCAUAGUGUGCCUAGAAUUCAAAGUGGUUCAACAAAAUAUUUGGCAAGGGUUAUUUAGCCUGGUAUGGCCUAAUACAUUUUUGUGGCGAAGGGGGGAGGGAAAGAGAAGUUUAUCGGUUAAAAAAGGACUUUGUCGUGUCCUGCUGCAUUAUUUAUUUCUGUCGAUGUUUGAAUCCUUCUUACCAUGGGAGGACAGACUGGAGGGCUUGUAAGUUAAAAAAGGAUUUUGUCGUGUCCUCUUGCAUUAUUUAUUCCCGUCGAUGUUCGAAUCCCAGGUGAUGUAUUUGGUAAAAAAGAGACUGCAAAGAAUACAAGCCCGCUGACAGGGGAGGCAACUUCACCCAAAGGGUGAUCACUUUUUAAAAAAUCUCUUACAUCACCGAGAGAGGAUUAUUAUCAACCCCUCUAUCCAGAUCAGAGAAAUAGCCGGUAACCAGAGACGCCCAACUUAUUAUUUUUUUUAUCUGGUGUGAUUUACGACUCUGCAGUAAAAAGAAAACCCAGCGGCAAGAAAGAAUGAUGUCCCGGUGAUAGGUCAAAGGUGAGCAGUCUGUCAUGAAGGGGAUGGGUUCAAGAUAUCUUCCAACACAGACCACAAAGCAAUGCAGUGUAGGACAGGGCUAGGACUCGGAUACUUCUCCUUUCUUCAUACUGGCAUACUCUGAUAAUUCUGAUGUCUACACAGGAAAUUUAACUUCGAGAUAAAAAUGGGGUACAUUGGCGGGUGGUGAGGAGACUUCGGGUGGACAAAGUGCAGCACUUGAUCAUAAAACCCGCAUACAGCAACCUGCAGCAGGUCGCCGCCCUUGGCACGCUGCUCUCUCACAAAAGCUCCAUGUGGCAGCAAAGUUUCAUGGAGUUGCGGGUCCAUGAGCCAGUGAGAAAUAUUGCGAUGAGGUUGAUUAGCCGAGGGCUCGAUGGCAAGAAGCUGGAGGUCCUUACCUGUUUUUGGGUUGUUCAGCCUUUCGGAGUCAUAACUGUCUCACAAAACCAGCGGCGACUGUACGUGAGAAGGUGACAUAGCCACAAGUCACAAUCCCUUAUGAAGAGUUAUAGGAGCAAUUAAAGCGACAUCGCUAUUACUGUUGCCUGAUUAAUGGUCGUCUGCAGACAGAUGAGAGCGUGGCACGGAUACCAGUGCCAAGGUGUUGCUUGCAGAACUGGAUGUAUUUCCACUUUGGAGAGGUUUGUGCAAAUUAAUGACAAAAGAUUAAAAAAAAUUGAAACAAUAACAUAGUCUAUCUUUUGUGUGUGUGAGAGAGAGAGUGGGGAUAAAAAAAAAAGAAAGAUAACCCUCUUUUCAAAGUAUAAAGGACUGAUUCAACAAGUAAUGAGGACAAACGUAAAGGUGUAUUACACCAGUAAAUAAUUGUUAAACUCGAAAACACCUCACACAUGUUUCCACAAAAAAAUCCAGGUGACACCCCUUUCGAUUGUUGUACCUAGUCUCACACAAUAAUACAACGUGCCAAUCAUUUCCUUCCUUAGUCGCAGCAUUAUUCAUGAACUCUUGCACGGAGGACAUGCUUUUUUUUUUUGUGCACGAGACUGCGCCUUGCUCCGUCGUGUCAUCCUCCCUUCAGGCCUCUUGCGAGAGAGUCACGUGCUCAAGGGACCUGCGCGCGCAGACAGCCGUUUGCACGAGAGGUGCAGCCGAGCUCCGACACGCGAUCAAUGUUUUCAAUUACCUGGAGGUCACCUGGCAAGGUGAUGGGUAAUCAGAACUCGUUUGACAUUGGCCCCUGCAACGCCGCGCAAGGGAUACCUGUGAAGGGACAGCCUGCCAGCUUCUCUGUACCUGCUGGCUCUGAUUUAUCCCCUCUUGCUGGUUACACCCCUGCAACACCAUGUCACCUUGCCACUAAUCACUAGCACCCUCCCUCCCAUCGCCCUCCCACCUGUUUCCACCCCGUUCCCACCCAACUCCUCGCACACAUACUUUCUGACAUGCAUUAUCCUUUCACACUCUGUAGCCUCCAUGCCAGUCUUCAUGGCCAGCGAUACGUUUUCUUCGCUCCCUUACUGCGUCAGUUCACAAAGUCGAUGUCGUAAGGGCAUCGCUGGCGAGGUUUCAUAAAAAUGCGCAUCAUGCCAGUGCAAACCUCGACUGUGACACGAGAUAAAUCGAGAAAUGCGCGAUAUAAGCUAUAGUCAAUAUGCGUCAUAGGGGACAAGCAGGAGCAUCGGUACUUUUACGGAUUACAGGCCAAUAGCAAACUCUUUCCCUUUGCUGAUUAAAGGCCACCCAUGGACCUUGUUUUCUACGGAAAUCGAAAGAAGCAUAAGCCUCUGUGAUGAUCAACGUUGAUUUUUGGUUGCUUUGACAGGAAAGUGCUUCCACCUUGAGAUGAUUUUGCGCUAUGACGAAAAGGGAGGAAACCAGAGUACCUGGAGAAAACCCCACAGGUGUCACAUGGAGAGUUUCUGGAGAUGAGAUUUGAACCCAGGGCCUCUGUUUGCAGUGGUGACAAGUUAGUGUUUUAGCCACUACACUACCGGGCGUCCACGUCUCUCCUUAUAAGGAUUAGAGGCACUCGCAUAGCUUUAGUUUACUUUUUAACAAUAUGGGGGCCAACGUAUGCGGAUUUUUUCAUAAAUCCUAAGCCCGAACCCUGUUUAUAAUUUAAAACUCCAUUUGUAUCACCAUUCCAUAAGUUAAGUCAUCAAGAAAGGUAACUCAUGCCUUACAUGCACUAUACCACCAUAGACAAAUACUUGGAGGACCCGAACAAGAGCAUCCAUUCAUCCGCAAAGAUGUUAAUCAUAACCAAUAAUGAAUACGGUUAAUCAGCAUCAGUGUGGUGGUGAGUUUACUAAGCUUGCUAAUACCAUGCUCCACAAUCCAUCUAAAACCCGUUGUGAUUACAUAACAACUGUUCUAUUCUAUUCUAAAUAUUCACAGACCUUCAGGCCAAACUUUAAUUGCUUUGUGUCCUGGUCGCUACUGUUCAACGACUAUUUAUAUAACUACUAAAAUUUUACUUUAAUACAAUCUUAUCUGGUAAAACAUUGUUUCUGUUAGUAAUGAAAUGAAUGGUUUGCGCCCUCAACACACGUCAGUCAAUAAAUCCGUCUACAUCUGUAUUUCUAUAUUAUCUUGUCAAAACCAAUCUAACGAAACUGAUGAUAUACAUCUGACCACACAAACUGGUUUUGAGGGUCCCUAACUUUUUCUGCCAGAUGUACUAAAGAUCUUGAGAUAGGAUGUCUGUGUAGGGAAUGAUGAUGGAUCAAUCUUGAGGAAAGCAUAGUUUUUUUGUUUUUUUUUUGGUUGAAAAUUUCAGUGAAAUAUUUUGCAUGCAUUUAGCAGGGUAUUAUUCCUCUAAAACUGUUAUUACUCCCUUAGCGUUGAGAUGUUCAUUAAGAUGUGUGGCUGCUAGAGGCGUGUCUGCACAUCGGACCUCAAUGGCUUGCUGGUGCAUAAAGACUCAUUGUCACUUGGUAAUAAAGGAAGUGUUGCUGCGAACAUGUUUCAGUUACUGGUGAAAUUAUGAUCGAUUACAUCCUCCGUGAAUCAAGAUUUUUUCCCGCCCUUAAACACCCCGUAUCCAAACUGAUGCCCUUCAAUCGCGUGCACCGGCGCGUGACAAACUCCCAAAAAAGACACGAAAGGCACGUGCGCCGCUGCACGCUAGCAUGCACACACAUACACGAACAAAGUUCACAGACGCACCGUGCACACGCCACAGUGACAAAGCCGCCAUUCAGUCUUGAGUCAUAUAACGGAAGCAUUGGGAUGCUAGACCUCCAGACCAGAAGCAAUUGUUUCUUUGUUGUUGUUUUCUCAUUUUGUGUCUGGGGAGUGGGGGAGAAACGGUUUUCAAAUAUCUAGGUGGCGUGUGAAGAAUUCUCCCCCUUCCCUUAUGAUCAGCGAGAUUUUAAAACUUACAAAUAUUUUCUUUUAUUUAUUUAUUGAAGUCCUUGCGUGAUAUUUUAGGAACUUGCGAUAAAUUCUAAUAUUU